UGACGGUCCAUAUGUUAAAAGGGCUAAUAUCAAACUACAGAACUAAGCCAACUUCAGCGUGAGCUUAAAGUAUGGCAACUUCGUAUGAACUUUGAACUCUUAUUCACUAAAGAAGUGAUACCUCCUAGCCGUUGAGUGAGCAGCAGCAGCUGUAAACGUGGGCUAGGAAGGGACGGACAAAGUAUCUCUUCUACCAAACACAAGACGUUACUACAACGCAUCUAUUCUACCAUACAUUCUUCAGAGGACAGGAAGAUCUCUGUUGGGCAACACGGCCUUCCAUCUACGACCAACCUAUUGAAGCACAGCUCAUGACAGGUCAGACACCAGGGGGAGACUCGGAGGCCUGGUGACAGAUGGAACACACAUCACGAGGCGAUGGCUCCAUCUGCUGUACGUACCAGGUCACGAUGGGCUCUCCGGCCAGGACUAAUUGGGGCUGAUUGAGGAUUGGUGAGUAAUCAAGGGCUGAUUGCUCACCAGCUGUACAAGUCCCAUAAAGAUGUAAUAAGGGCCACACAGAGGAGAGACUAGGGGAGGAAAGGACUCCCGUAUAGUUGGGGACGGUCACAGGAGGGAGUUCAGCUUUUGAUCCCCACAGGUGACAGCAAGACGGUAUCCCGGAGAGGGUCUCUUGGGAAGACCUACACUUUUGGACUAUUAUUUUAAUAAACACCUUUGAAACUGAGCUAAUCAUACUCUGUCCGUGUCGGAUCUGUCUAAACGGUUUGACCCAACCCGCUGGUCUGCCACACUAUAUAAGGUCCCACUGUUCACAAGUGCAUGGCAGAGCAAAAACCAAGCCAUGAGACCAAAGCUCCGAGACAGGAUUGUGUCGAGGCACAGAUUUGGGGAAGGGUACCAAAACGAUUCUGCAGCAUUAAAAGGUCCCCAAGAACAUAGUGGCCUCCAUCAUUCUUAAAUUGAAAAAGAUGCAGGGUGUGCAAAGCUGUCAUCAAGGCAAUGGGUGGCUACUUUGAAGAAUCUAAAAUGUAUUUUGAUUUAACACUUUUUUUGGUUACUACAUGAUUCCAUAUGUGUUAUUUCAUAGUUUCGAUGUUUUCACUAUUCUACAAUUUAGAAAAAAAAGUUUUAAAAAAUACCCUUGAAUGAGUAGGUGUGUCCAAACUUGACUGGUACUGUAUAUCAGAUAGCACAUUAGAUUAAAUGCCAUCCACUUUCACAUUUCAUUCUGUAGUCUUGGCAUAUACUGUAUGUAUGUAUGUAUGUAUGUAUGUAUGUAUGUAUGUUUUCUUGCCUAACAUCAUUAUUUGGAAAUGGUAUAUUGAUGAUAGUUUUGUUCUAUGGAGGGGUGAUGCAAAACAGCUCCAGGCAUUCUAUACUUUUCUUAACUCCUGUUCUGAUCAUUUGAGAUUUACUCUGCAAUCUAAUACACGUCAAAUCAGUUUUCUUGAUCUUCUGUGAAGAUAAUGUUCUAUACACUGAUCUUUACAGGAAACCUACUCAUCGUAACAGUUUGUUGAGAGCUGAUAAUUGUCACCCACUUCCCUUGAAAAAUAGUUUGCCCUACAGCCAAUUCGUCGAAUCAAAAGAAUUUGCAAAAAACAAUCAGAUUUCAACAGAAAUAUGGCUGAGACGCAAAGAAAGUUCAAGGAGAGGGGCUACAAAAAUUAUCAGAUUAAUAUUCAAAACAAAACAUGACCUUUUUCAAGGUCAGUCUCGCAAAAAGACGCAUUCUUGAGUUCUAACUACCCGCUAUUCAAAGUGUUCUGAACAAAUUAAGGGAAUCGUUCACAAACAUUGGCACAUUCUAAAAUCCGAUGUGUCUCGGUAAUGUGUUUUCAGACCUUCCCUUGGUCGUAUUCACGCGGGGCAGAAAUCUCAGAGACCAAUUGGUACACUCUGAUUUACCACCUCAAGAUAUUCCUGAACAACGUCUAUUUGCACCCCUACUGGAUAGAAAUGACAAGUGUAAUGGCUGUGCUCAAUGCAAUGGCACUUACAAAUGUCGAUCCUUCAAACACCCACAAACAGGGAAAUCGAUCCCAAUCAAAGGUGUUAUUACGUGCUCCACUAAGGCAGUUAUUUAUCUUAUAACUUGUCCUUGUGGUAAAAAAUGAUGUGGGUAAAACAAAGCGCAAAUUAAAAGUAUGUAUCUCAGAGCAUCGUAGCACCAUUAGGUGCAAAAACUUGACUUACCCAGUUGCAGCCCACUUUUUGAAGGCAGGCCACUCGAUUGCGUCUCUGCGUUAAAUUGGCAUCGAACAUGUCACCCUCCCUAGGAGAGGGGGUGACCUUGAUAAUUUAUUGUUAAAACGAGAGGCUGCCUGGAUCUUUAUCUUAAAGACCCUUGCUCCCUUCGGUCUGAAAGUAGACUUUGAUCUGAAGCCAUUCUUGUGACUUUGCCAUUGUAAUUGUUUGUAAGCCUGUGUAGUCUAAAAUGAAUCUAUGAUCGUAUGCUAUCCAUUUGUUGUUUGUAUGCUGUUCUUUGUAUGCCAUUUUAAUAUUUGAGAAUUAACCAAAGAUAUUAGGCCACUCUUGGCCAUGAUUACAGACACUAUAUAAACGAGUCAUCCCGCAUUGUUUGUGAUUAUACCCUGAUGAAGACAGUUUGGCUGUCGAAACGUUGGUAAUUACAUUUUUGCAUCUGAGCUCCUAGAGUGUGCGGCUCUCUUAAGUUUUCUGCUCCGCUAGCCAGCACCUCGCCUAAAUAGAUGUGCGUUUCUUUUUCUUCUAUAUAUACACACACUGUAUGUAAACAUUUAUUUUCUCAAAUGUAAAAGUAUAUAUUUUGUAUGGUUUAAGACAGGAAGUCAUAUACGCUCGCAGACACACCUCCACAAUAAACAUAUCCUCAGCUCCUCUCAA